CCUCUCUCCCCUCCCUCCUACAGCGAACACCCCUGGACCCUGAAGAGGGCUCUGCAAGGUUAGCUGUGGCCGUGCGCCGGGGAGGGGAGCCAUGCCUGAAGUACGACCCAGAACAGGGAGGAACGGGGACAACGACCCCAUGGACCGAAGAGUGUGAGGGGAAUCCGCACUAUUUUUCUCUACUGAGGAUAGUCCCAGCUAUGCAGAAUGGCACGGCCGUGCAGGCUGCCGUGACACCAUAAGAACUUGUCCUAUUUCUAGCCAGAGGCCCAGGUCCGGGCUCACCCUCAAGCUGCACGUGUGUGGGACAGACCCAAAGAAGCACGGCAACGGCUUUGAGAACUGAACUGUGACAGAACAACUCACCCAAGUCCCAGGCUCAGCCCUGGAAGGUGCCUGUGUAGGACAGUCACAUAUAAGGCAGCAGAGGCUCUGAAGACUGAAUUGACACUGGAACCAACAGCUAGAGGUGGGACAGAACUUGUAGCCUGAACCUAACUAGGCUGCCUGCUAAAACAAAACAAAAAAUCAACCUUCUUCAGAGGAUUUUUCACAGAACCCAAGACUUAUACCAUAACACUCAAAAUGUUCAGCUACAAUAUUACCCAGCAUGAAGAGAACCAGUAAAAUGUGAACAGCUCUCAGGGGAAGACAACCAACAGGUGCUAACCCUGAGAUAACCCAAACGGGACGAUAAGCGCCUUUAAAAUAGCUUUUGUAGCUAUGCUCCGUGGUGGAAGUAAACACUCUUGAAAUGAACAGACGGACACUACAAAAAAAUGAAUGGAAAUUUUAGAACUGGAAACUAUAAUAUCUGAAAAUUAAAAAAAAAUCAGUGGCAGAAUAGAGGCAGGAAAGUCAGUGAAACUGAAGAUAGAUCAAUAGAAAUUAUCCAAUCUGAAUGAACUGACAGAAGACAUUAAAAAACAUGAACAGGACUUCCCUGGUGGCGCAGUGGUUAAGAAUCCACCUGCCAAUGCAGGGGACACGGGUUCGAGCCCUGGUCCAGGAAGAUCCCACAUGCUGCAGAGCAACUAAGCCCGUGCGCCACAACUACUGAGCCCGAGCACCCUAGAGCCCACAUGCCACAACUACUGAAGACUGCGCACUCUAGGGCCUGCGAGCCACAACUACUGAAGCCCGCGUGCCUAGAGCCCGUGCUCCGCAACAAGAGGAGCCACCGCAGUGAGAAGCCCGCGCACCGCAAUGAAGAGUAGCCCCCGCUCGCCGCAACUAGAGAAAGCCCGCGUGCAGCAACAAAGACCCAAUGCAGCCAAAAUAAAUAAAUAAUCAAAAAUAAAAAAGCCCUAAAAAAAAAUGAGCAAAGUUUCAGAGAUUUGCAGGACAAUAUCAAAAGGUCUAACAUUUGUGUCACUGGAGUCCCAAAAAGAGAGAAAGAGAUUAGCACAUAAAAAAAUAUUUGAAGACAUACUGGCUAAAAACAUCCUGAAUUUAGUGAAAGACAUAAGUUUACAGAAUCAAGAAGCUUAGUAAACCCCAACAGGAUAAAUCAAAGAAAGUUAGGCCCAUACAUAUCAUAACCAAACUGUUGAAAAUCAAAGAUAAAAAAUUUGAAAGCAGCCAGGGAAAAGCAACACACUGCAUAUAGGAGGAACAAGUAUUUAAUGGCUGUGCGUUUCUCAUCAGAAACCAUGGAAGCAAGAAGAAGUGGGACAUUUUUAAACUGCUAAAAGAAAAAGAAUAGUCAACCCAGAAUUCCAUAUCUAGUAAAAAUGCUUUAGAAAUGACAACAGAAUAUAGACAUUCUUAAAUGAAGAAAACUAAAAGAAUUUGUCACCAGCAGACAAAUGCUUCAAAAAAGAAAUGCUAAAGGAAGUUUUUCAGGCUGAAAAGACAGACCAGAGGAAAACUUUAAGAAUAAAGCAAGAGCGACGGAAAUAGGCAGCUGAGAACCAUGUGGGUCACUAAUGAUCUCUUGGGGAAAGCCAGUUCUGAGGAAUAACAGAUUUUUUUGCCUUUUGAAAUAUUCCACUAAGUCUCUAAGCCAAAGCCUUUUGGCCUUCAGAAUAGAGAAUCAUGAGAUCUGGUUAAGCAGAUUUUUGCCCAAUAGAUAUGGCAGGGUUUAGCCAAAGAAUUGAAAGCCCUAAGUAUUAAACAGUCUUUAGAUUUUAUGUAUGUCAGAAGUUCAGAGAGUGAUUGUUUUAUAUUUUAAGUAAUACUUAUAUUUACUUGGAAUAUUACAAUUCAUCAUCUAAGAUAUAUAAAUAGAAAGUAUAUUAAAGUAGAACUGAUUGGAAAUGCUAGUUUCAAAAUAUCAAUAAAUCAGGAUUCUAGUUUCCAUUCACCCUUAGUUUCACGCGUAGAAAUAAUCUUAGGUUUACUAACUUUAAACAUUAGGCAACAAAU